CCUACGGGGGGCAGCAGUGGGGAAUAUUGGACAAUGGGGGCAACCCUGAUCCAGCCAUGCCGCGUGUGUGAAGAAGGCCCUCGGGUUGUAAAGCACUUUCAGUGAGGAAGAACGCCUGGUGGUUAAUACCCAUCAGGAAAGACAUCACUCACAGAAGAAGCACCGGCUAACUCCGUGCCACCAGCCGCGGUAAUACGGAGGGUGCGAGCGUUAAUCGGAAUUACUGGGCGUAAAGCGCGCGUAGGUGGCUUGAUAAGCCGGUUGUGAAAGCCCCGGGCUCAACCUGGGAACGGCAUCCGGAACUGUCAAGCUAGAGUGCAGGAGAGGAAGGUAGAAUUCCCGGUGUAGCGGUGAAAUGCGUAGAGAUCGGGAGGAAUACCAGUGGCGAAGGCGGCCUUCUGGACUGACACUGACUCUGAGGUGCGAAAGCGUGGGUAGCAAACAGGAUUAGAUACCCGGGUAGUC
rnacentral:rRNA from 1 species